rnacentral:lncRNA from 1 species
UGAGAGGCGGGCCGAAAGAGCAAAGCUCAACCCCCGCAAAAACACAACUAGUAAACACAACUAGUAAACACACAUACAUAUAUAUAUAUACCUAUGUCUCCUACUCUGAUAGGGUAAGAUAACUUCUAUAAAAACUAGUAUGAUAUUAAACACUUAACCACUGAAGGUAAUUAAGAUGUUUUUACAAGCUCAGGUUAUAGGUACAUACAUUGUAUAACAGAUGUACUGUAUUACAUAGUCUUGGGUACAAGUCCAAUAAAUCAAGUGUUCCAGUAUUCAUAUAGUAUAGUAAAUAAUAAUUACAGAAUACUGUACUGGGUUGAGGUGGCAGUUCUUCCCAUCCAGUAACCUGGUACUUAACACUUUGACGCACCACGCCCACGAGACCCGCACUGUCCCAGGUGGGCCCCAGCGUUUCAUGGGAGCGUGCGGUAAUUCUGAAAAGUGUAUAUUCUCUUCAAUUUUGUCACCUCAAUUCUCGUCCAGGGUUUUUCAAUUUGGUAUCAUUGUGUUCGCAAUAGAAUUAUCUACACGACUAAAGACAUAUAAAGUCCAAAAGCCCGGCGUACCAUCCACAACAAACACAGAAAGUGAGUGUAUGUUACCCGGAAGUGCAUAAGAGCGAUAAAAUGUGUACACUCCUUUCACGUUUGUCACCUCAAUUCUCGUCCUAGGGCUUUCAUUUUGGUAUCAUUGUGUUCGCAAUAGAAUUCCCAACAAGUGCAUAUGCAUAUGAAGUCAAACGCCGCAGCACGCUCCACCCACCGACCAGAUGAAUGUGGCUUGGAAAGAGAGCACUGCGCCAUCCCAAGGCGCGCCUCAUUACAUUAGAGAGCGAGGUAAUACUGAAAAGUGUAUACAGUACUUGUUUCAAAUUUGUCAUCUCCUUUCUCGUCCUAGGUUUUUCAAUUUGGUAUCAUUAUGUUCACAAUAGAAUUCUCUACACGACUAAAGACACAUGAAGUCCAAAAGGCUGGCGUACCAUCCACAACAAACAGAGAAAGUGAGUGCGUGUUACCCUGGAGCGCAUAAGAGCAAUAAAAUGUGUACACUCUCUUCACUUUGGACAUCUCAAUUCUCGUCCUAGGUCUUUCAUUUUGGUAACAUUGUGUUCGCAAUAGAAUUCCCUACAGAAGUAUAUGCAAAUAUAAAGUCCAAAAGCCAGAUGUACCACCCACAGCAAACAGAGAAAGUGACGGAGCAUAAUCCCAGUGAGUGCUCAUAAAAUGGGUAUACUGUUUUCAACUUUGUUACCUCAAUUCUGGUCCUAGAUCUUUCAUUUUGGUAUCAAUGUAUUCGCAAUGAAAUUCCCUACAAGAGUAUAUGCAUAUAAUAUCCAAAACCGCUGUGCGCCCCUCCCGAAGCCGCCGCCAAUUUGCCGCCAAAAACGACGCAAUGCUGCGUCGUUACCGGGAAUGUUUCAACUAAAAAAAUGAUGCAAUGCUGCGUUGUCACCAGGCGAAAGUGUUAAGGGUUUAUACCCUUAUUGGGUCUUGCCCCUCAGGUUAGCCGGUGGUCCUGGACUGUCUGUCUUCCCUUGGGGUGGGAGUGUUAAUGCUGGUGGGGCACACUGUGAUUUGCGAGACAAAUCAGAGUGCCAAGGUGAGCCUCCAGUUAUAGUCUGGGUGGUGCUACGUUCUCCUCGGUUGCUUGGUCUCCGUGGUUUGGUCCUGGGGGUCUGGGCUUUCUCUCUUGUCUUCUUUUGGGGGGUUUUAGUCAUUUUGCCCUUUUUUUUGCUUUGGGGCUUUUCUGUUAAAGCUUAUUAGGUUUUCCUAGGGUUUUUGUAUGGUUCAUCCCCCUUGUUGCCCCCUUAACUUUUCCGUUGGCUUCGGGUGGCCAGGGAUCCCUGUUCAGUAGACUGGUCAGGGGUAACUGGCAUAGUGUUCCCAGUGCCUGGGCUUCCUGCAGGGCAUACUCACCCUGUAGGCCCUACAAAACCCCCUUGGGUUUGGUUAUACUAUGGAUAACUUCUCAGAGCUCACCUUUCUAUUUAAGCCUUUCCUUUGGACUCUGUUUUUCCUUCUCGGGUAGUGGGCAUGUAUGAGGGUUCUGCCCCGGGGCCCUACGCCUCAGUUAUGAACUCUUUCAAGUUUGGUUCAUCUUCCCCUUAUUGGGUGUAUUACAAGGCUCUGGAGUCAUCCUGGCUAGCAGAUUGUAAUUUGUUUUCCCUUAAGAGCUUAGUGCAGGUUUUGCCGUACCCGCAUGCUUGACUGAUGGGAGGCAUCUUCUGUGUUGCAGUUUUUUUGGGGGGGUUCUUUUUAGCCUCUCAAUGGGUGCCUCUUUGCUCUGGCCCUUUUCUGUGAUGUGGGUCUGGUGCAGCUACAUGCUCCAGUUCCUAUUGGCUGCUUUGGUUGCAGGCGACCUUCAUGCCCACUCGCACUUGGCUUCUGUCGUGCAUUUUUUGUGCCUCCUAGAGCUUCAUUCUCAUUGGCUUUUGUAGGAUGUUGGGAUGCUUGGUGAGGUUCCUCUUGCAGGGGUCAUGGCCUCUGCUGCUUCGGCAUCGACUUUCCUCCUUAAGCUGUAUGCUCUGAUCGCCCAAGUGGUGGUUUUCAUGUUUUUUACCUCUCAUCUCGCGUGUCGGCAAGCCAUGCUGGCCCAGUCUUUGGAUUCGGUGUGGGUCCUGGCCCUGACUUCUGCUUCCCUUUUAAUUCGUUGUUGAAAAUAAAUUUGUCCUAUUGUGGCUGAGUGGGUUAAGGCAGCUGUCUGGGCAAAACCAGAAUGCUGGCUCAAGUCACCUCAUUGCCCCAAAAUGAUUUUCUCAGGUUUAAAACUUCUUUUUGAUAAAUUUUGCCAAUAUGGACUAGUUUUGUGCAGCCAAUAUUUUGCCAGAAUCUAGUUUUUUUUUUUUUUAAGAACUUCUUACAUUAUUGCAAUAUUAAUUCUAAUGCAUUUUUCUAUUCUUUGCAACCAUUUGUUGCCACAGCAAUUUAUAUUAGAAUUUCAAAUUAAAUUUGAUGGCCACACAACUCUCAGAAAGAAGCCAUUUGCAAUGGUUUUAAUUAAAUGGUACAUUUCUUGAUCAAUUGAUUCAGUGCGUGCAGAUGCACUCAGUUUCAGGUGGGAGGAAUUACUCAAUUAAAUUUUUACUGCCAUAAAAUCUCCCAUUUCAAAAUUGUUAAGUGUUAACAUGAGGGCCCCUCAUAUGAAAGUGCCCAAUUGGCUCAUUACUUAAUGCAGGACUGCCCAUACUUACCCCAUCUACUUACUUUUUUCUAAUAUACUGGGUAUGUCCUUAAUACUGUGUGUUUGGAAGGAGGGGGGUUGGCCAUUUUUGUUUUAGGAAUAUGUAUAAUGCUGUUUAUAUCAUGAGAUAUGCCUAUCUUCAGUACUGAGGAUACAUUCUUCAAUCAGCUGAAAUUUAAAAAAUAUAUUAUUAUUAUUAUUAUUAUUAUUAUUAUUAUUACCAUAUUAUUAUCAUCAUCAUAUGCAAAAUGUUGACUCAAUUGAUUACAUCAUUAUUUCACUGAAAGUAAUAUACAGUACUAGGUAUUGUUGCUGAAAGAACUUAAGUUUAUAUCAUUCAGGUGUUGCCAAAUUUGAUCAAAGCUCUGUUAUCAUAUUAUUUUAUAGUUGUAGUGAAGUGAUUAUGUCAGUGUUCUUGCCAGCAGUGAUUUCCAUGCUUGCUCUCGUUGUCUUGCUUCAAGCUAUUUAUUUUGCAAUUACUGUACUUUUCAAAAUAUUGCUUGAGCUCUACAUUAGUUUUCCAAUCAGUUAGCUUGGGAAAUAUAUAGUAUAGUAUAUAUACAAAAUAUAUUGAAUAAUUUUGAGAUGAGCAAAUUACUGUACAGUGUAGAUGAUGGCAGACACACAGAGAGAUACUGUAGUGUGGAUGUUUUGUAUAGGGUUGAAUACUGUGUACUGAACACUCAGAGAUUUUUAGAAGUGGCAAAAAACACAAACACGCACAUGCACACAUGCGUGCACACACACACAUACAUACAUACAUACAUACAUACAUACAUACAUACAUACAUACAUACAUAUAUAUAUAUAUAUAUAUAUAUAUAUAUAUAUAUAUAUAUAUAUAUAUAUUCAGAGAUUGUAAGUUAUGCUUGUGUGACUGGGACUUUAUUUAAACUUUAAGAACUGUCAGUAGUCCAUAUUUUAUUUUUCAUUUUUUCCUUAAUAGAGACUUUCUUACAGAAAGCACAUGGCACUGUUUGAGAGUUAUAGAUGCACUAUACACUGUUAUAGUCAGUCAUGUAUAUAUAUUGUAUAUUCCAUAAAUGUGUAAUGUAUAUUUAUUUCAUGUAAAAAGAUUAUUUCCAAAAACUACAAUUUUUUGUAAGACUUUAUAAAAUAUACAAAAUUUAAGUUCA